GAGUUUGAUCAUGGCUCAGAACGAACGCUGGCGGCAUGCCUAACACAUGCAAGUCGAACGAAGGCUUCGGCCUUAGUGGCGCACGGGUGCGUAACGCGUGGGAAUCUGCCCUUUGCUUCGGAAUAACAGUGGGAAACUACUGCUAAUACCGGAUGAUGUCUUCGGACCAAAGAUUUAUCGGCAAGGGAUGAGCCCGCGUAGGAUUAGGUAGUUGGUGGGGUAAAGGCCUACCAAGCCGACGAUCCUUAGCUGGUCUGAGAGGAUGAUCAGCCACACUGGGACUGAGACACGGCCCAGACUCCUACGGGAGGCAGCAGUGGGGAAUAUUGGACAAUGGGGGGAACCCUGAGUCCAGCAAUGCCGCGUGAGUGAUGAAGGCCUUAGGGUUGUAAAGCUCUUUUACCAGGGAUGAUAAUGACAGUACCUGGAGAAUAAGCU
rnacentral:rRNA from 1 species